AGAGCCUGGGGGUCUCCCAGGAGGGCAGCAGGUGGGCUCCAGCCAGGUCAGCCUGCCUUCCUGGGUUCGUCUGCCCAGAGGGCGUUUUCUGUGACCCAGCCUGAACAGAGCUAGAAACCAGGCGGUGCCUGGGUGCGUCCAGCCCUGGCUCACGCACGCUGUGCUUCCAGGAGGCGGGCCCUGCAAGCAGCAGUGCCGAGACACGGGUGAUGAGGUGGUCUGCUCCUGCUUCGUGGGCUACCAGCUGCUGUCUGAUGGUGUCUCCUGUGAAGAUGUCAAUGAAUGCAUCACAGGCAGCCACAGCUGCCGGCUUGGAGAAUCCUGCAUCAACACAGUGGGCUCUUUCCGCUGCCAGCGGGACAGCAGCUGCGGGACUGGCUAUGAGCUCACAGAGGACAAUAGCUGCAAAGAAUACUCUGGGAUCCUUCCGCUGCCGACCCAAGCUACAGUGCAAGAGUGGCUUUAUACAAGAUGCUCUAGGCAACUGUAUUGAUAUCAAUGAGUGUUUGAGUAUCAGUGCCCCGUGCCCUAUCGGGCAUACAU
rnacentral:sRNA from 1 species